UUUAUUGCACACAGCUUAUAUUUAUAUGGUUAUCAAAAGGCACUGUGCUUAAUUCCAGUUGGUUAGGAAUUCAGUUCACUGGUUGGUAAUGGGUGGAGAAGCCAGGAAUGGAGGAGUGAAGUUCAGCUUGGGACAAGCUCUGCAGCUAUGCAGGAGGGAGUAGCAAGGUUGGCCUCUUCUACCUGGCAAAUAGCAACAGGAUGAGAGGAAACAGCAUCAAACUGUGUCAGAGGAGGUCCAGCAAAAGAGGUUGCCCAGAGAGGUUCUGGUCUCCAUCUUGGAG